GACGAACGCUGGCGGCGUGCUUAACACAUGCAAGUCGAACGGGCCUUGUCCCCUUUUUUUUGGGGGUGGGGUUAGUGGCGAACGGGUGAGUAACACGUGAGUAACCUGCCCCUCACUUCUGGAUAACCGCUUGAAAGGGUGGCUAAUACGGGGUGUUCUGGCCUGCUCGCAUGGGUGGGUUUGGAAAGAUUCGACCGGUUUUGGUUGUUUUGGUGGGGGAUGGGCUCGCGGCCUAUCAGCUUGUUGGUGGGGUGAUGGCCUGCCAAGGCUUUGACGGGUAGCCGGCCUGAGAGGGUGGGCGGUCACACUGGGACUGAGACACGGCCCAGACUCCUACGGGAGGCAGCAGUGGGGAAUAUUGCACAAUGGGCGCAAGCCUGAUGCAGCGACGCCGCGUGAGGGAUGGAGGCCUUCGGGUUGUGAACCUCUUUCGCCAGUGAAGAAGGUCCUGCUCUUUGUGGUGGGGUUGACGAUAGCGGGGUUAAUGAAGCGCCGGCUGACUACGUG
rnacentral:rRNA from 1 species